rnacentral:rRNA from 1 species
GAAAGCCUGAUCCAGCAAUGCCGCGUGUGUGAAGAAGGCCUGCGGGUUGUAAAGCACUUUUUGGCAGGGAAGAAACCCCGGGCCUGGAUACCCUCGGGUUUGACGUAACCUCCAGAAGAAGCCCCGGCCAACUACGUGCCAGCAGCCGCGGUAAUACGUAGGGGGCGAACGUUGUCCGGAUUUAUUGGGCGUAAAGAGCUCGUAGGCGGCUCAACAAGUCGGUCGUGAAAGUCCGGGGCUCAACCCCGGGAUGCCGGUCG